AGUGAAAACAGAGGGCUAACACAUUUCGUGUCCGAUUUACAGAGCAAAGACUACAGAAAUAUUCGCAAAAACUAAGACUGGGAUUCAGUUAAAUCAGUUUUUGAAAUGGAGUGUGCCGUAAACACUGGUCCUGAUGAUGAGCCAUCUGAUACUGCUGUUCCGUAUGAAGCCAUUACUGUAAAGGAUGGGAGUGAGACCCCAAAAAAGAAAAACAAGAAACAUAAGAAACACAAAAGUAAGAAGAAACGUAAGAAGCGCAAGGGUGAAAAGGAGAGUAGCUCUGAAUCUGGAGUAGAAUCAGAUGGCGAUUCCCAAACAAGAACGAGCGUGAAAAAAGAUGGCUCAUCUAACCCUGAGGCUGAUGAUCAUGCAAAUGCAACAAAAAAUUGCACAGAAGACCUCAGUGAUGUGGAAGCUGAUGCCAAGGUUAAAAAGCAGAAACAUCGUGUUGGGAAAAAGAAGAAAAAAAGAAGACGGAAAGAGGAGGAAAAGCAGGAGGUCCUAAAAAAGUCCUCAUCUCGCUCAAGAUCAGCGAGUACAUCAGGGUCAGAAUCAGAACCAGACUCCAGACAAUCACAAAAAUUGCAGGUGGCAUCUUUAAAGUUGGACAGGAAGUCACCUAUCACUGCAGCUAAAUUUCCAAAAGACAAAUGUAAAGAUAGCACACCCCAAUUGGAAGAUAAAAAGAGAGAAAUGACUUCUGAUCACACUGAAGAAGGCAGUUUAAAAUUAGAAGGGAUAAGAAAGAUGUCUCCUGAGACUGCACAUGCACUAAUUGCAGAGAGGGACAUAAAAGUGGAAGCUGUUGGUGAACAUGAAAGUUUUGGUAAAGUGCAAGAACUUCCUGAUAUUAUUCCUAAGCAAGAGAAUGUGCACAAAGAGCAAGCUGUGCAGAAGGACAUCUCAAAGGAAGCAAAUGGGAAUCAGAAAGAAAAGAAAAAACAGUCCCUCUCCAGGUCAAGGUCACGAUCGCUUUCAAACACUAAAGGGAAAACAUCUAAACACAGUCGCUCUAGAACUCCAAAGCCAUUAUCUGGUAAAUCAGGACGUCAUAAUGACAGAUCAUCUUCAAGGGACAGGUCUGUGUCUGCCUCUGCUGGGAAGGAUCGAAAAAAAAGAAGCUCGAGGUCUCCAUCAAAACGGUCACUGUCUAAAGUAACAAAGAAAACUGGACGCAGGUCAAGGUCGCUCUCUGGAAGAAGAGCAUAUCGCUCCGACUCAAGGUCCCACACAAGGACCAAAAGAUCGAGGACUAGGUCUCCACGACGUGGUCAUCGCUCAAGAUCUAGGUCAGCUGGAAGACCAAGACAUUCACGCUCAAGAUCAAAACAAUCUGUUUCUCGGCGGAAGAAUCGGCACUCAAGAUCACGGUCCAGAUCUGUACGGAGAGGAAGACGCUCAAGGUCCCGCUCUCGAAAGAGGAUGCCUGUUUCUCGGGCAAGGCGGUCCAGGUCUAGAUCUGUCAAAAGAGCAAAGCGAACACGCUCAAGAUCCGUUGUGAUUCUUAGGCGAUCUAGAUCAGGCUUAAGAAGAAACAGACGAUCUAGAUCAAGAUCCGCUCGUAGAAGAUUAGGUUCAAGAAGCCCAAGACGUCGAAGUAAGUCUCAGUCCCCUCAACGCUCCAGGCCCUCUGAGUCACGUUCUCCUGCAGCCCGUCAAAGGAGGUCAAAAUCUAGGAGCCCUCAUAGUACAAAGUCAGUAUCUCCUCAACGACGUGAAAGAUCAAAGUCACGGACAUCUUCACAUAAUUCAAAGUCCCCAAAAUUAAGAAAAACUAAAAAGGAAAAAAGUAAACGGUCAAGGUCAGUUUCUCAGAGACGCACAUCAAGAUCAAGAUCUAUUUCCAGGGAGCGAAAGUCAUCAGAUAGAAGUAUAUCCCCUACCAAGAAAGAACACUCUAAAUCUCCGACUAAAGAGGAAAAGUCCUUAAAGGCUGAGAGUUCAAAAGAAACCUCAGAGACUAAACAGCAAAUUGUGGAUGCUGUGGAGGAUAAUUUAGAAGUUAAAGGGACAGCAGCGUCAAGUCAAUGGAAACCAGUGUCUACUGAAUGUACCUCUGUGCAAAAUCCAUCAAAUGAAGACAUAACAUCAUCGGAAUGUGACACACAAAGUAAAAAAAUCAAGGAGUCUGAAAAUCUCUCUGAAUGUGAAGAAAGACCAAACCGAUCUAGAUCUUUGUCCUUAGAUCCAGUUCCUCAACAUGGUACUGCAAGAUCAGAUGAAGAUGAUCGAUCAGGGGGCUCACGAUCACCUACACCAAGUAAAGUAAAAGAAUCAAAGACCUCCAACAAAAUGUCACCUGUUCGAAGAAAGCGCUCCAGAUCUGUUUCGUCCACACAGAAAAGGCGAUCCAAGUCGAAAUCCGUCAGUAGAAAGAGGAGGUCAAGGUCCCACGUUAGAAAACGCAAGUCCAGGUCUCCCUCACAUAGUCGUAAAAGGAGGACAAAAUCUCGGUCACCUGUUCGGAAAAGAAGAUCACGAUCAAGAUCAACCAAUCGAAGGGUAAAAUCAAGAUCCAAAUCUCACACAAGAACAAAACGCUCAAAAUCAAAAUCCCCCAAGCGGAAGCGGUCAAAGUCUAGAUCGCCAGCUCGGAAAAGGAGGUCCAAGUCACGUUCCCCUGCUAGAAAGAGAAGAUCUCGUUCACGGUCAAGGGCUCGUCAGUCACGAUCCAGAAGAUCACGCUCGGUUUCACGUCGGAGGAGACCAGCAUUUCGUGGGCGAUCUUUUGAUAGACGAGAUCGAUGGAAACGUGAACCAAGCCACUCACCAAUUUUGAUUCUCCGUAAGAGGAGGUCCACCUCAAGAUCUCGACGCAGCUCUAGCAAGACGCCACCACGUCUUACUGACCUAGAUAAAGAUCAACUGUUGGAGAUUGCGAAGGCUAAUGCUGCUGCAAUGUGUGCUAAAGCUGGAAUGCCCAUACCUGAAAGUCUGAAGCCGAAGGCAAUUCUACAGUUACCUCUGCCAACCCCAGGUCCAGCCCCCUUGUCUUUGCCUCUGCCAUUGCCUGUGCCCAAUUUACCUAUGAAUCUGCCCAUGGGUAUACCAGGUAUGCCUGCAAUGCCAAACAUGACAAUGAAUGCUGCCAUGGCAAGUAUGACUGCGGCCACAAUGACUGCUGCUCUCUCAAACAUGGGUGCCCUGGCCUCUAUGCCUCCAAUGGCCCCACUUCCUACCAUUACCAAUAAGCCCCCUUCAGCACCCACACCCAAUCUGGCCAGUAUUGAGGAGGUGAAGAGGAAAGUGGCUCAACAAGCUAACAGCAUUAGCAUCAAGGAGUUUACAGAGAAAUGUAAACAGAUUGCAGAGAGUAAGGAGGAGAUGAGUAUUGCACGGCCACAUGUUUCAGAUGAUGACGAUGAUGAUGAGACACAGUAACUCACUGUCAUUCUGCUGCAUCUCAUAUAUAGUCCUGAUGAUGGACACCUGUGGCUCGCAUUUGUGAUAAAGGAUGACCUCCGUCAUGUAAAUUAAGCUUUUGUUUGCUCACAGAUGGACAUUUGAGCAUCUGGACACUUGAAGCUACUUUGAUUUCAGUUAUCUUUAAAUGGUCAGUUGUUGGAACAGCUGCAAGCUACAGGAAUUUUUUUUUUCUUUUUUACCGAAGACUAAAAACUACCAGAGUAGACCAUUUAGUAUGUCUAAAAGUGGAACAAAGGAGGUAAAUUGUAAAACAGACAUACUAUCUGCCCAGACUGACAGUGAAACAUUUCGCUUUCAGGCUUGUUUUUACCUUUACUACAUAUGGUGCCUCUUGAUACCAUGAAGAAGGACCUCUGGUAGAUUAAACACAGUUAUAGGUGUACCUAAAAGAAGAAACAGAUUUUGGGGUUCAGUUUAGAUCACAGGUCAGGUCUGUUAGUACACACUUUCAGAGCUUUCUGUUAACAUACAGAGAUAUGAUUAUUUUAGGAGUAUUUUUUUUUUCUGUCUUUUAAAAUUCAUGAAGUGUUAAUAACUUGUUUAAAUACAUUGGUGAAGAGAAUUGUGUUUGUUCCUUAACACUUUUGUGACCUUUUAAAGCAAAUUAAAUGUUGAGGUUCAGAGUUGUUGCUGUACUUGACUGCUAUACUUAACAGAUGAUGUUUGCAUUGAGGUGCAUUGUAAGGGUUCUGACCACAGACUUUCUUUUAGUUACAUUGGUUAAACCUUGCUGUGCUGCUUGCCGGGUAACUGACAUUGUGGUCUGUCUUUAUCUUAAAAAAAAAAAAAUCGCAGAGAAUGACACUCAUUGAUGAUAUUAAGGUUUUUUUUUUUUUUUUUUCUCAUUUUUUAGUCUAUCAUAUAGUGAAUCCUUGUAAAUGACAGACCAUGGUGCAGUUGUGUGGUAUACAAUGCUGUUUUAUCUUUGUGACUGAAAUAUUUGACUCAGCAUAGCUGCAGGGUGGGAUGCUGUAUUUUCAGGAGUGAGAGCAUGUCACCCAUCACUAUUCUAGAUAAGGGGUGAUUAAACUGCAUAUGAUUUGCAUAAGAUUAUUGUUUAAACACAUGUACUGUAUAUUGUGUAGGUGUGUAUUUUGACAGUUUUUUUACCUCUCCCCUCCACUGUGUUCUAUGGUGGAGACCCCUUUACCAAUUUAACUAAAAAGAAAUGUGAUGAUGGCACAGAUCCUACUAAUUCACUUAAAAAUAUUUAACUAAAAAUGAAUGGUUAAAGAGUAUGUUCAACAUGAUGGGAUGUUCCAUGCUACAUUAGCUGUAGGUUUGGCACUGUAUUGUUGUCCACAUUAAAGAAAUGAUACAAAAUUCUAUCCAGAACUGCUUAAACUUUAUUAGAUUAAUAUAAACAACAUAUUUCAAACUGGAAAUGUAAAGCAUUGCAAAUUAUAGUAUUUAAUUUUGCCAUUAUUUCGUUAUUGUUCAUUUUAAGGGACAGUUCUCCAAAAAUGAAUAUUCUGUAAUCAUUUACUCACCCUCAUGUUGUUCCAAACCUGUAUGCCUUACUUUCUGCAGAACACAAAAUAAGAUUUUGAAGGUUUGGAUAAACAUGAGGGUGAGUAAAUGAUGACAGAAUGUUAAUUUCUGAACUCUGAUCUCUUUAAUUAGAAAACUGUCAUUAUGAAAUGAGUAUAGCCAUGUUGAAGUCUCUUUAAGGAUAGUAUGAAAAAGUUCUUCUGCGUCUAAGGUACAAGCCCACAUUCCUUGCAUAAAAUGUGAAACAUCCUCAGUUUUGACAAAGCAUUUUUAUCCUUUCCAUCACAUUGUGAAAAACAAUGGCACACUUUGUAUAUAAUGCAACUUCAAAUAUUAAAGGAAACAAUCUACAUGACUUUUGUAAUUGUGUUUUCUUUAACAACCAGUUAAAUUGGGAAAAAAGUUUGUCACUUAUUAAAUCUAUAGAAAUUGUGUCUGUCACUGUCUGAUUUAAUCUGAUAUUUUAAUUUGAUUCAAAGAACACUUCUGCGACGUCGGAGUAAGUUAGCAAACCUAGUAACGUCAGCAUUAGCCGUUCAAUCUUGUGUAAUCUAUAGAAAUAAAGUAAACGGUCGAAGAAUAAUUAGUUAAAUU
ensembl:lncRNA